AUGCAAGUCGAGCGAUCUCUUCGGAGAGAGCGGCGGACGGGUGAGUAACGCGUGGGUAACCUGCCCUGUACACACGGAUAACAUACCGAAAGGUAUACUAAUACGGGAUAACAUACGAAAGUCGCAUGGCUUUUGUAUCAAAGCUCCGGCGGUACAGGAUGGACCCGCGUCUGAUUAGCUCCUUGGUAAGGUAAUGGCUUACCAAGGCAACGAUCAGUAGCCGACCUGAGAGGGUGAUCGGCCACACUGGAACUGAGACACGGUCCAGACUCCUACGGGAGGCAGCAGUGGGGAAUAUUGCACAAUGGGCGAAAGCCUGAUGCAGUAACGUCGCGUGAGCGAUGAAGGCCUUCGGGUCGUAAAGCUCUGUCCUAAGGAAGAUAAUGACGGUACUUGAGGAGGAAGCCCCGGCUAACUACGUGCCAGCAGCCGCGGUAAUACGUAGGGGGCUAGCGUUAUCCGGAAUUACUGGGCGUAAAGGGUGCGUAGGUGGUUUUUUAAGUCAGAAGUGAAAGGCUACGGCUCAACCGUAGUAAGCUUUUGAAACUAGAGAACUUGAGUGCAGGAGAGGAGAGUAGAAUUCCUAGUGUAACGGUGAAAUGCGUAGAUAUUAGGAGGAAUACCAGUAGCGAAGGCGGGUCUCUGGACUGUGACUGACACUGAAGCACAAAAGUGUGGGGAGCAAACAGGAUUAGAUACCCUGGUAGUCCACGCCGUAAACGAUGAGUACUAGGUGUCGGGGGUUACCCCCCUCGGUGCCGCAGCUAACGCAUUAAGUAC
rnacentral:rRNA from 1 species